AUUGAGCGAUGGGCAGGGUUAACUUGACUUUUUCUCCUGCCUUGGGUGGGGGGGGGAUGUGGAUUCCUUUAAGAAUGUGGAUUUUUGGGUCAUCUUUGGCGCCCCCUAGAACGUAAACCGUUGGGUGCAGCGUCAUGAUUUUUACAACUUUGAAUGGCCAUGGGGUGUAGAUUGGCCUGAGCAAAUUUGGUGUCAGUGGGACGAAAGCCUUAGGAGGAGUUAGCCACAUUCCAAUGUGUGCGAAUCGGCAAAAAAUGCAAAAUAGCCCUUUAACCGUACAUUUGACAGAUACGCGCGCAUUGACUUUUUUGUAGAUCUUAUUGAGAUACAUAUGUGUGUCAAUUUUUGUGUCAAUAUGAUAAAGCGUACAGGCGUGACAGUCAAUAGUGUGAAUUUCCACCUUAGGGGACAAGAAAAAAUUUACUUUUUUCUCCUGCCAUGGGGGGGCGCUCUUUUGGGGAGUAAAAAUUCCUUCACAAAUGUGUUGAUGGCUGGACAUUGCAUCAUCCUAGAAAACUUGGAGGCCAGUGAGGACAAAAAUAAAAAGUUAUAAGACUUUUAAAUAUGUGGAUUUUACGGUUAUCUUUGGCGCCCCCUAGAACCUAAACCGUGGGGUGCAGCGUCAUGAUUUGAAUAACUUUUAAUGGCCAUGGGGUGUAGAUUGGCCUGAGCAAAUGUGGUGCCGGUGGAACGAAAGCCUUCGGAGGAGUUAGCGAAAUUCCAAUGUGUGCGGAUCGGCAAAAAAUGCGGAAUAACCCUUUAACCGUACAUUUGACAGAUACGCGCGCAUUGACUUUUUCGUAGAUCUUAUUGAGAUACAUGUGUGUGUCAAUUUUUGUGUCAUUUUGCCAAAGCGUACAGGUGUUACACUCAACAAUGUGUAUUUUCACCUUAGGGGACAAGAAAAAAUGGACUUUUUUCUCCUGCCAUGGGGGGGGGGGCGCUCUUUUGGGGAGUAAAAAUUUCUUCACAAAUGUGUUGAUGGCUGGACAUUGCAUCAUCCUAAAAAACUUGGAGGCCAGUAUGGAAAAAAAUAAAAAGUUAUAAGACUUUUAAGAAUGUGGAUUUUUGGGUUAUAUUUGGUGCCCCCUAGAACCCAAACCGUGGGGUGCAGCAAGAUGAUUUGUACAACUUUGAAUGGCCAUGGGGUGUAGAUUGGCCUGAGCAAAUUUGGUGCCGGUGGAAAGAUAGCCUUCGGAGGAGUUACCGAAAUUCCAAUGUGUGCGGAUCGGCAAAAAAUGCAAAAUAGCCCUUUAACCGUACAUUUGACAGAUACAUGCCCUUUGACUUUUUCGUAGAUCUUAUUGAGAUACACGUGAUUGUCAAAUUUUUUGUCAAUAUGACAAAGCAUACAGGCGUGACACUCGACAAUGUGUAUUUUCACCUUAGGAGACAAGAAAAAAUGGACCUUUUUCUCCUGCCAUUGGGGGGCGCUCUUUUGGGGAGUAAAAAUUCCUUCACAAAUGUGUUGAUGGCUGGACAUUGCAUCAUCCUAGAAAACUUGGAGGCCAGUGAGGACAAAAGUAAAAAGUUAUAAAACUUUUAAGAAUGUGGAUUUUUGGGUUAUCUUUGGCGCCCCCUAGAACGUAAACCGUGGGGUGCAGCGUCAUGAUUUGUACAACUUUUAAUGGCCAUGGGGGGUAGAUUGGCCUGCGCAAAUGUGGUGCCGGUCGAACGAAAGCCUUCGGAGGAGUUAGCGAAAUUCCAAUGUGUGCAGAUCUGCAAAAAAUGCAAAAUAACCCAUUAACAGUACAUUUGACAGAUACGCCCGCACUGACUUUUUUGUAGAUCUUAUUGAGAUACAUGUGUGUGUCAAUUUUUGUGUCAAUAUGACAAAGCUUACAGCCGUCAUGUGAAUUUUCACCUUAGGGGGCGCUAUGGAGCCAUUUUGCAUUUUAUUGUUUGGGCGACUUCAGAAUAUCGAAUUUUUCACCAGGCCCGGUCGUCCUGCCAAAUUUCCUGAGUUUUCGCCAGUGGGAAGUGGGCCAUUUUCCAGUUUAAAGCGGAGGAAAAAUAAUAACGAAAGAAGGAAACAUGCAGGAACAAGAGGGCUCUCGCAGCUGCUUAGCAGCUACGCUCGGGCCCUAACUAGGACCCCGUUGGGGCACUGUCGGGCCCGAGCCGUGUCGCGCCGCCCCCAGUGCGACCGCCUCCCCCUCCCGAUCGCGUCACACUCAAGAUCCAAAGAUUGUGUGCGCACUUGUCUGUGGUCAUUUCCUAUUAUAAUGAAUGGGAGGCGCAGUUUCUACCAAAACACUCGCUGCAGACAAACUUCAUGUCCUAUUUGAAAAAAGUCUGGACCAUGAGUGAGGGCACAAACACAGCUAUGAUAUAUCGAAAUGGCAGGUUGCUCCUCCUUACGGUGUUGCCUGGAGAGAGAUGCGAUUGAGCCAUUGAGCGAUGGGCAGGAAAAACUUAACUUUUUCUCCUGCCAUAUGGGGGGGGGGGGGGGGAUGUGGAUUCUUUGAAGAAUGUGGAUUUUUGGGUUAUCUUUGGCGACCCCUAGAACGUAAACCGUGGGGUGCAGCGUCAUGAUUUUUACAACUUUGAAUGGCCAUGGGGUGUAGAUUGGCCUGAGUAAAUUUGGUGUCAGUGGGACGAAAGCCUUAGGAGGAGUUAGCCACAUUCCAAUGUGUGCGAAUCGGCAAAAAAUGCAAAAUAGCCCUUUAACCGUACAUUUGACAGAUACGCGCGAAUCGACUCUUUUGUAGAUCUUAUUGAGAUACAUAUGUGUGUCAAUUUUUGUGUCAAUAUGAUAAAGCGUACAGGCGUGACAGUCAAUAGUGUGAAUUUCCACCUUAGGGGACAAGAAAAAAUUGGCUUUUUUUUCCUGCCAUGGGGGGGCGCUCUUUUGGGCAGUAAAAAUUCCUUCACAAAUGUGUUGAUGGCUGGACAUUGCAUCAUCCUAGAAAACUUGGAGGCCAGUGAGGACAAAAAUAAAAAGUUAUAAGACUUUUAAAUAUGUGGAUUUUAGGGUUAUCUUUGGCGCCCCCUAGAACCUAAACCGUGGGAUGCAGCGUCAUGAUUUGAAUAACUUUUAAUGGCCAUGGGGUGUAGAUUGGCCUGAGCAAAUGUGGUACCGGUGGAAUGAAAGCCUUCGGAGGAGUUAGCGAAAUUCCAAUGUGUGCGGAUCGGCAAAAAAUGCGGAAUAACCCUUUAACCGUACAUUUGACAGAUACGCGCGCAUUGACUUUUUCGUAGAUCUUAUUGAGAUACAUGUGUGUGUCAAUUUUUGUGUCAUUUUGCCAAAGCGUACAGGUGUUACACUCAACAAUGUGUAUUUUCACCUUAGGGGACAAGAAAAAAUGGACUUUUUUCUCCUGCCAUGGGGGGGCGCUCUUUUGGGGAGUAAAAAUUCCUUCACAAAUGUGUUGAUGGCUGGACAUUGCAUCAUCCUAGAAAACUUGGAGGCCAGUGAGGGCAAAAAUAAAAAGUUAUAAGACUUUUAAAUAUGUGGAUCUUAGGGUUAUCUUUGGCGCCCCCUAGAACCUAAACCGUGGGGUGCAGCGUCAUGAUUUGAAUAACUUUUAAUGGCCAUGGGGUGUAGAUUGGCCUGAGCAAAUGUGGUGCCGGUGGAACGAAAGCCUUCGGAGGAGUUAGCGAAAUUCCAAUGUGUGCGGAUCGGCAAAAAAUGCGAAAUAACCCUUUAACCGUACAUUUGACAGAUACGCCCGCACUGACUUUUUUGUAGAUCUUAUUGAGAUACAUGUGUGUGUCAAUUUUUGUGUCAUUUUGACAAAGCGUACAGGCGUGACACUCAAUAGUGUGAAUUUUCACCUUAGGGGGCGCUAUGGAGCCAUUUUGCAUUUUCUUGUUUGGGCGACUUCGGAAUAUCAAAUUUUUCACCAGGCCCGGUCGUCCUGCCAAAUUUCAUGAUUUUUCGCCAGUGGGAAGUGGGCCAUUUUCCAGUUCAAAGGGGAGGAAAAAUAAUAAUAACAAAAGAAGGAAACUACAGGAACAAGAGGGCUCUCGCAGCUGCUUAGCAGCUACGCUCGGGCCCUAACUAGGACCCCGUUGGGGCACUGGCGGGCCCGAGCUGUGUCGCGCCCCCCCCCCCAACGCGCUGCCUCCCCGUCCCAUUUGUGUCCUCUGGCCAUCGCCCUCUCUGGUAACGCCCAUCACUGCAAAGACCCUUUUCCUUCAUCGGCGUUUGCUGUUCUUCCUGCCAGUGCGUGUUGCUUUCACUUACACUUGCCACAGCCAGCCUCGUGAGUGCCUAGCCUAUUGGAUAUCACUGUCACCUACACAGGACAGUCAUUACCUUUCUAUUAAUACUUUGUUUUUUAAUUUCACAUUAAUUUCCAUAUUGUAUAAACAACUGGAAAAAACUUGAGCCCCUGCCCCUGUAUAAUCAUGUGCACGUCUCUGUUCUAGCUCUAAGGUGAAUCUUCACUGCUCAUGUUCUCCUCAGAA
rnacentral:lncRNA from 1 species